UCAUGAGCAACUAGCCUCACAUGAUUGUGCCCUGAAGCUGCCUAGAAUUGUUUCAAGAAAUUCUUCUUCACAAUUGUAAUAUUCUUUGACAUCUCUUGUCCUUCAAGCUCCGAGGCUAAGGGAAACUGAGAGCUAUGUGCUCCAAAUUUCUGAAAAUCAAGACAGCCUUCACCCUCCAACAGCUUCAGCAUACCCUCGCAACAGAAAGAGGCCGCGUAGUCGCUAGCUCCAGCAAUGACUAAGGGCAAGGAUUCAAACUCUUGAUCCAUCCAAUCAAAC
rnacentral:lncRNA from 1 species